UAAAUUGGUGGGCUUGUUGAACGCUGCAGAGGUAGCUGUUACUGUUUCAUGGCUUCUUCAACUGCCACACUUACACUCCCUUUGGCUUUCACCCAACAACAGCAUAACUCUCUUUCUCAGCGCCAAGUUUUCUCCUUCACUAAUAUCCCAAACAGGGUUUCCCUGUAUUGGAGAGGGAAUUCUAGUAAGUAUUCAAAGUGUGUUUAUGCAAGAGCUGUUUCAACCAACGAGGAAGUGAAUCAAACUCAGAGUUCAGAGUUGAAGAACGAUACCCAAAGCACCCCAUCAUCCUCCAAACUCGUCCUUGUUGUUGGUGGCUCUGGUGGCGUUGGGCAGCUGGUGGUAGCAUCACUGCUUCAACGGAAUGUUAAGUCACGCUUGAUACUUAGAGAUCCUGAGAAAGCCACAGAACUGUUUGGUGAACAUGAUAAGAAGAAACUGCAGGUAUUCAAAGGAGACACAAGGAAGCAAGAGGAUUUGGAUCCAUUCAUAUUUGAGGGUGUCACACACGUGAUUUGCUGCACAGGAACGACAGCUUUUCCUUCAAAGCGGUGGGAUGAUGAUAAUACACCAGAAAGGGUUGAUUGGGUGGGAGUAAAGAAUCUAGUAUCUGCAUUGCCUCCCUCAGUGAAGAGAGUUGUUCUUGUGUCAUCAAUAGGUGUGACCAAGUUCAAUGAGUUGCCAUGGAGUAUUAUGAACCUAUUUGGUGUCCUAAAAUAUAAGAAGAUGGGUGAGGAUUUUCUUAGGAGUUCUGGCCUUCCAUUUACCAUAAUCAGAGCUGGAAGGUUGACAGAUGGACCUUACACAUCGUAUGAUCUCAAUACUUUGCUCAAAGCAACAGCUGGACAACGACGAGCAGUCCUUAUAGGUCAAGGUAUAUGAAUAAUGUUCAUUUAUAACUAUUGUACAAUGAAAGCAUUUAUUUCCCUUUUUGUUGCCAAUUUCCUAAGCAAUUUUCACCUAAGCAGAUUACCAAGCUAUACCAAUUGUAUGUGCGAAUAUAGUCUAGCAAACCAAUAAGGUGAUUUGCUAGGCAAUGUAGCUUGUUUCAUAGACAAAAGGGAAAUAGGGUUCCCACCACUCUUUGUCUAAUGAAGCAGGAGCCUGAACUGCAGUUGAAUUUCCUUAGUUAGAUGCAUAACUGUAUGAUGGUCUUGUGAUAGAUACCCAUUAGUUAUUGUUGAAUUUGGGCUUUAAGCCUAACCCAACUCUAAAAGUUAUCUCGUAAGUUGAGGAUUGUUUUAGCCUUUAUAAACUUUUAUUUAUCUAUAUGACCAUAUUUGUAGUUGUAGGACUUAAAAAACACAUCCCCUCAUGAUAAAGAUUGGACAUCUCAGGUCAAAAAUUGUAGGACUGAUUUUUAUUUUUUUUUAAAUAUUGCAUUGGAAAUGCAGAGCUGGGUAGGUGGCACUAGGGAAACCGCAGGACUAGGUUAAUUACACUUGGAAAAUCUGUGGGGCCAAGUUGUUUUUAGUCAAGGGUAGCCCAAUAUUGGAUCUAAGAUGGGCUUUGAUACCAUGUUGAAUUUGGGCGUUAAGCCUAAUUCAACCCUAAAAGUUAGCUAGUAGGUGAGGAUUGUUUUAGUUUUUAUAGGAUCCUAUUUAGCCAUAUCCGCAGCUGAUGUGGUACUUUAAUAGUUAGUUGCUUAGUUAUGUUUGUUUGAGAGUUUAUAAUUAUCACAAUUCUGUAACCCUUGCGCAUGCUACAUGUAUGUAUUGGGGUUAGAACUUCACAAACUCUCUCUCUUGUAAAUAAAAUAUGGCAUCCUAACAAUUAACAGAAUAGUUCUGAGGAUAAUGGCAUUUAGCAACCAAUCCAACACUUCAAUCUAGCAACUCAUCUAUAAUGUUUAAUUUUGAUUGAAAAUAAUGCACUUACAACCUAUGGCAUGUAUGUCUUUGUCAAACGAAACUAAAUGGGUAGAUGCAUCACAGAAUUUUUAUUCAGAUCCAUCCUAUUCUCCUACAUAGCUUUCUGCUACCCAUCAUCAUGUGCAAGACUGAGAAGAGAAAACGCUCUUUUCGAGCAAGGGUGAUCUCCUAGAGAAAUAAAAUUGGAAUUAACUCUUUGCCUUUUUUUUUUCAUUCCACUCGCAACACAUAUAGUGUGAAUUAGUUACAAACAAAACGAAUCUAAUGCCACGUGGAUAACAAACAACAAAAAUAUAUCAAUAAAAAUUGGAAGAAUAGUAAAUUUCAAAUAUUAACUUCAGACUCAAAAACUCAAAAACUACUCAUAGUCAUUUAGCCACUGGGGUUUUUGCUUAUUCCUCUUAGGUCUUGCAAAAUUGGGCUUUUUUGAUGCUAUAGGCCCAAGAAUUUUCCCUUCCUAGCUAUGUGGUAAUUGGGCCCCAAUGCUUGCGACCUUAUCAAAGACCCUUUGAGACAAACUUUGGAACCGUAACAUAAUCCUCUAGGAAAACAGUGUUUCAAUUUGAGUAAGGGGAUAGACAUCUUAUGACAGAGGUAGCUGGGUAGAUGCAAGAUUGUUUACCUCUGACAAGCCAUUGAGGCAUCAAGACUAUGAUUUGGUUUGUUGGAGAGCAAAGAGAAGGAAACAAAGUGACCAUUAGUGGCUAUGAUGAAGCUAAUGGUGAUCAAGUGCUGCUAAGAAACUGUGAAAUUGUUGGUUAGUACAUUAGGAUGUACUUACCCUUCAGUUGAAAAACACAACUUAAAUGCCAAUGUAGCAGGGAAGCACACAGAACCAUUGCAGGCAUUCUAUGGUGUGAAUUCAAGCACAUACAGAGCACUGUGUUCUUGACCAUUAACAAUGAUCUUUGUGAACUUGUAGUUUUUCAUUUUAGCAGGCGGGGACUGGGUGAUAUUUGCUGAUGGAUAAUACAUUAAGAGGAGAGUUUUUGAAAAGGAAAAAAGGAAUAGUAGCAGUGGAUUUGUGAGGCUUGUAUGGGGAUACUGGAAAGGAGAUAAAUUAGUGGGAGAGGCCAGCAGAAUUGUGGUUGCUGAAGCUUGCAUACAGGCAUUAGAUCUAGAAGUCACUGAAAACCAAGUAUAUGAAGUUAACUCUGUUGAGG